AUUGAACGUUGGCGGCAGGCCUAAAACAUGCAAGUCGAACGGUAACAGCGGAAGCUUGCUUCCGGCUGACGAGUGGCGGACGGGUGAGUAACACGUAGGAAUCUACCUAGUAGUGGGGGA
rnacentral:rRNA from 1 species